GCGAGGGGCGGGGCCUGGAGGCGGGGAAGUGGGGUGAGCACGCAGCUCGCGUCGGGACGCUCUCAGGCCCGGCAGCGGGAGCCUUGGCUGCUGCCCCGGCACGCCUGUUGUUGCGGGUCACGCGGCUCCGUUCCUAUGGUGACUGUGCCGCAGGCGCCCCUCAGCCACAUAGUGAUACUGAGCUAAUCCCCGGUGUAGACGGCGCUAGGUCAAAGGGCGUCCGGUGGACAUAGCUACCCCUCUUGGGUACGUGGCGCACCUCCUGUGCCACGGGGAGAAGCUCUCCCAGCGUAGGGAGCAUCUUCACUAGUCCUCUAGUGGCGCAGCUCCAGCACUAUGUGUAAAGGUGGAAGACAUUAAUCCACAUUUGUGUAAAUCAGGCGAGUAGAGUACAGACAUGACAGAACAUAAGAACGGCCAUCCUGGGUCAGACCAAAGGUCCAUCUAGCCCAGUAUCCUGUCUUCUGACAGUGGCCAAUGCAAGGUGCCUCAGAGGGAAUGAACAGAACAGAGAGAUCCACCCAAUUGCAUGGAGUAGUUUGGAGAGGGGCUUGCAGUCACCCAACAGUCUCCCUACCCCACCCCACUAUUUGAGAGGCCCUCCUACAUAGCCGCCAUAGUGACUGAUAAGAGCCUGGAGAAGGUGGAUGAUCUCUCAGACAAUGAAUAAUUACAGUGAGAGCUGGAAGUGCUACUGAAGAAGGCAGGCU